GAACAUGAAUCAGAUCAUUGGAAGGCUUUCUGGAUCUGGAAGUUUCCUGAUAAAGGUGGUGUUUACCCAGGGAGAGGGCAGAGAUGGGAGAUUAAUCCAUGGAAGGAACAAUUAAACAAAGGCACAGAAGUCAGAAUGUAUAGCAUUUAUUGGGAAAGAGCAAACAUCCGUUUCCACCCCAUUUUAUUCUUAAAAAAAAAAAAAAGAAUUUGUGCAGUGAGGAGUCAAGUAUGCCUGGGAUGCAAAUUGUUAAAGAGAUUCAUGGGAAGUUCAUAAAAUUCAUUAAGGAGAGUGGGGUGAUUAUGGAGCAUGGAUAUAAGAGGAAAGAAUUUGAAUUUAAUUCUGUAGGGAAUGAGGAAUCCCGCCUGGAUUUGGCACAAGAAGAGAAACAUAAACAGAGUUGUGGUGUAGGUACAGCCAACCCUGGCUGCAGUACAUAAAAUGGAUCGGUGUGGUGCAUCUAAGAGAGAGCAAAGCAAUCGAGAGAUUCAUCGAGAGAAUGUCUGCAGCAAAGUUCCGAGGAGGACAGAACCAGGGCUCCCACAGCAGAAGCAGGGAAGGGGAGGGACACACAGGCUUGACUUUUCAGACCUUAUGCAGCCGGGUCCUUGUUCUUACUGGAGAGGGGCCGACAGGAAGAGGAAGAGCCCAUGUCAACCUGAGUAUUUCCUGCUUAGGUGACCAGAAGGAUAGUGAAGCCAGUGACAGGGAAUUUAGGAUGGGCCCAAAUGAGAGGUUUAACUGGAAAAAAAAAACCUUAUUAGAUAUCAUCUAAAGCAGACAUCAGUGCUGAAAAUGAGUCAGCCACCAAGGGACUAACUUUCUGGCCAUCUAGCUAAGAACAGUGGAUUCAACCUCAGGGUCUUCAGCGCCUCUGAAAUCCACCGGAAGCGGCAGCACUGCCAAUAACAUCAUCCCCUCAAACGAGCCCGUGACCUAAACAUGGCGCUACAUGCAGUUUGGAUAAAUACCCUACACUUAUUUUGUGUGUUCUGCUUUGCACACAACUUUCACAGCGUUCUGAUUUUUCUUUCACAGCUAUCUCAUGACAUAGGUAUUCCAAUUUCCACUAUACAGGCAAGGCAACUCAGGAGGAGACAGGAGAAGGGGCAGGUCUAAGUCACACUUCCAGUGAAGACUCAAGCCUGCUCCCUGCCUUCAAGCUUUGUUCUCUUUCCCCUGUCACUCAAGUGCAAGACUCGCGCUUUUUUUUUUUUCCUGAGGCAGAUUAAGGAUAAGUCAAUGUAUGUAUGUAUUUAAAGGAUAAGAUAAUUUAACUGAAAUCGGCAAUGGAGACCAGAGAACAGUGAGAGAGAAACUCAGAGUGAAAAAUUCAGGGCAGGGAAAUUUCCUUCCUGGGUUACAACUUGGAAGAACCAUCUGCUCUCCCUCCCUAAGCCUCUGCCAAGUUUGCUCUGCCCUGAGCUAGUUCCCAUGGUUGGGCAGCUCCAAGAAGGCCGUGAAGUGGGAGAAUGGCAGGGGAGAAGCUGCUGGGAAUCAGUAGGAUUUUCUCCGAUUGUGUCUCCACAUCUGCCUCCCCGCCCCUUCUUCUGUCUCUUUGCUGCUGACUUCAGCAGACAGGCUCAGGUCAACCUAUUAGUUUGCAAGGGUGCAGAGAGACCAGAAGAGGGCGCUGCAGAUGUCUUGGUGGUGGAGGCAUAGCUCCCUCCCUCCUCGAGGCUCUGUGGACGGGACCAGUAUUCUGCGAAGCUCGAACGUACACUUGCUGGUGUGGUGUGGACUGCGUUGUAGGGAGGCCCAAAGAGAAACUACUAGACAAAUGAGUGGCUAAGAGCACAGCCUCUGCAGUUAGACCUUCGGGUUCAAUUCCAGUGUUGCCAUUUUUCAGCUGGGGGACCUUGAACAAGUUAGUCUUUGCUGUGGUUUGAGUGUUUGUGUCCCUCCAAAUUCAUGUGUCGAAAUCCUAAUGCCAAUGUGAUAUUGUUAGGAGAUGGGGCCUUUGGAAGGUGGUCAGGUCGUGAGGGUUUGACCCUCAUGAAGCGGAUCAGUAUUCUUAUAAAUGAGAUCCCAGAGAGAGCCCUCUCCCCUUGUACGGUGUGAGGGCACAGCAAGAAGACACAGACUCUGAACCAGGAAGGGGGCUCUCACCAGAGCCUGACUCUGCUUUGCGCUUGGAUUUUUGCCCCCAGAAUUGUGAGAAAUAAAAUUUCUGGUGGGUUUAAGCCACCCAGCCUGUGGUAUCUUGUUGUGCAGCUUUGACAGACUAAGACACCUUUCUGUGCCUGCUUUCUCACCUUCAAAAAAGAAGAUGAUAUUACCCAUCCCCAGGGAUGUUAUGAGGAGCAAAUGAGUUGACACGCGUAGAACACUGAGCACAGUGCCUGGCACAGAACGACCACUGUGAGGAUUCUCCAUUGUGAUCUGUACAGAGCCCUUGCCUGUCCCAGACACCACCUGACUGCUCACACAGGGGAACCCUUCGUCUAGGUUGAACAUUGCCUUUCCCGGGCAACAGCUGUCAGACCACUUGCCCACAUAGAGCCUCCAGCAUCUCACCAAUUACAGUGUAGGUGUUCUGAACCUGUAACAACCUGCUCGUUUUCAUGGAGGUUUCUGCUCAGAGGAGGAUUUUAAGCAAGAACAUAUAACAAGCAGUGAGGCAAAGAAGAGCAUGUCACAUUUGAAGAAGAGGAGGUGUUUGGAGGGCCUGAAGCACAAGGGGUAGAAUGAUAGAACUUGCAGGG